rnacentral:snRNA from 1 species
UUACUUUAGCAGCACACAUACUAAAAUUGGCAGAAGGAGAUUAGCACAGCCCCUGCACAAAGGUGACACACAAACUUUUGAAGUGUUCCAUAUUUUU